CCUACGGGAGGCAGCAGUGGGGAAUUUUGGACAAUGGGCGAAAGCCUGAUCCAGCCAUUCCGCGUGAGUGAAGAAGGCCUUCGGGUUGUAAAGCUCUUUCGCAAGGGAAGAAAACUUAGUCUCUAACAUAGACUGAGGUUGACGGUACCUUGAUAAGAAGCACCGGCUAACUACGUGCCAGCAGCCGCGGUAAUACGUAGGGUGCGAGCGUUAAUCGGAAUUACUGGGCGUAAAGCGUGCGCAGGCGGUUUUGUAAGUCAGAUGUGAAAUCCCCGAGCUCAACUUGGGAACUGCGUUUGAAACUACAAGACUAGAAUAUGUCAGAGGGGGGUAGAAUUCCACGUGUAGCAGUGAAAUGCGUAGAGAUGUGGAGGAAUACCAAUGGCGAAGGCAGCCCCCUGGGAUAAUAUUGACGCUCAUGCACGAAAGCGUGGGGAGCAAACAGGAUUAGAUACCCUGGUAGUCCACGCCCUAAACGAUGUCUACUAGUUGUUGGUGGAGUAAAAUCCAUGAGUAACCGNAGCUAACGCGUGAAGUACGACCGCCGNGGGAGGUACGGUCGGUCGAGAAGUUAAACGUUAAAGUUAAGUUAAGUUAGUUACGGCGUUGAGACGUUAGCCGACGGACGACGACGAGGGAGGAGGAG
rnacentral:rRNA from 1 species